rnacentral:rRNA from 1 species
GACGAACGCUGGCGGCGUGCUUAACACAUGCAAGUCGAACGGUGAACCUCUUCGGAGGGGAUCAGUGGCGAACGGGUGAGUAACACGUGGGCAACCUGCCCCCGGCUCUGGGAUAACUCCAAGAAAUUGGGGCUAAUACCGGAUGUUCACCGCUUCCCGCCUGGGGGUUGGUGGAAAGGGUUUCCGGCUGGGGAUGGGCCCGCGGCCUAUCAGCUUGUUGGUGGGGUAGUGGCCUACCAAGGCGACGACGGGUAGCCGGCCUGAGAGGGUGACCGGCCACACUGGGACUGAGACACGGCCCAGACUCCUACGGGAGGCAGCAGUGGGGAAUAUUGCGCAAUGGGCGGAAGCCUGACGCAGCGACGCCGCGUGGGGGAUGACGGCCUUCGGGUUGUAAACCUCUUUCAGCAGGGACGAAGCGCAAGUGACGGUACCUGCAGAAGAAGCACCGGCCAACUACGUG